rnacentral:lncRNA from 1 species
AUAUAGACUGACCAGGUGAAUCCAGGUGAAAGCAAUUAUCCCUUAUUGAUGUCACUUGUUAAAUUAAUUUCAAUCAAUGUAGAUAAAGGGGAUGAUACAGGUUAAAGAAUGAUUUUCAAGCCUUGAGACAAUUGAGACAUGGAUUGUGUAAGUGUGCCAAUCAGAGGGUGAAUAUUUAAGUGCCUUUGAACAGUGUUUGGUUGUAGGUGCCAUGCACACCGGUUUGAGUCUGUCAAGAACUGCAAUGCUGCUGACUGUCUCCUCUCCCUUCUCUUCUUCCGUCUGUCAGUUGUUGAUGGAGAGGCUGUCCCCACAGGGGGCCUUGACAGAGCUGCUAGCCUGGGUUGGAGAGACUGAGGCCAGGCUGGAAGAGCAGCGGGAUAGGGUCCACCAAACCACCUCCAGCAACGCGAACCUCAACCUAGUUCUUCAGAGCUUCAAGGUAGCAACUGCCAGAUUCAGUUUGUCCUCUCUUAUUCAAUACCUGGUCAUGUGAAAGUAUUUAUAUUUGCAUAAACAAAUUGUUCGAUUCCCGACGUCUCUCUCUCUCUCCUACAGGUGUGUAAGGCUGAGAUAGCAGUCCGCCAGCUCACAGUGGACUAUGUCAACCAGUCGGAGUUGCAGACGAGCAGAGGGAGAUAUGAACACCCAGAUUAUGCUGAUGAGCUGGGCGGUCUUAACCACCGCUGGCUCAGUCUACAGGGCACCCUCAACAACCAGAUCCAGGAUGUUGAACAGGAGCUGAGGAUGUGCACAGAGAGAGAGGUCAGACUGCAGCACCACCACACUUGGCUCACCAGUCAGAGAGAGUGGAUGGGCUCAGCCCAGAGGCCCGUCAGUCACUCUGAGGUGGAGAAGAGCUUAAAAACCUGUGAGGGUCUGGAGGAGAAACUCUGGCUAAAUUAUACAGCUCUUCAAGAGUUGAGAGAGAAACACCACACAGGAAAAGAGGAUGGCACCUGUGCCUUCAUCACUCAGACAGAUGAUGUCAUUAAGGCCUGUACAGCCUUCAGUCAAGAGGUAAGCUCAGGGGAAUGA